CCCUUAGAUGUUCUGGGCCGCACGCGCGCUACACUGUUCGACGCAGCGAGUCUUAACCUUGACCGAAAGGUUUGGGUAAUCUUCAGCAAAGUCGAACGUGAUGGGGAUCGAUCAUUGCAAUUAUUGAUCGUGAACGAGGAAUUCCUAGUAAGUGCAAGUCAUCAGCUUGCGCUGAUUACGUCCCUGCCCUUUGUACACACCGCCCGUCGCUACUACCGAUUGAAUGGUUUAGUGAGAUCUCUGGAUUGACGCUGGCUAGGGGGCGACCCUUGGCCAGACUGCUCGAGAAACUGCUCAAACUUGAUCAUUUAGAGGGAGUAAAAGUCGUAACA
rnacentral:rRNA from 1 species